UACGUAGGGUGCGAGCGUUAAUCGGAAUUACUGGGCGUAAAGCGUGCGUAGGCGGUUCGCUGUGUCCGAUGUGAAAGCCCCGGGCUUAACCUGGGAAUGGCAUUGGAAACUGGCGGGCUUGAGUGCGGCAGAGGGGGGUGGAAUUCCGCGUGUAGCAGUGAAAUGCGUAGAGAUGCGGAGGAACACCGAUGGCGAAGGCGGGUCUCUGGACAGUUCCUGACGCUGAGGCACGAAGGUCAGGGGAGCAAACGGG
rnacentral:rRNA from 1 species